CACGUAGUUAGCCGUGGCUUAUUCAAGGGGUACCGUCUUCUGCUCUUCCCCCUUAAAAGAAGUUUACAACCCGAAAAGCCUUCUUCCUUCACGCGGCGUUGCUGGGUCAGACUUGCGUCCAUUGCCCAAUAUUCCCCCACUGCUGCCUCCCGUAGGAGUCUGGGCCGUAUCUCAGUCCCAAUGUGGCCGGCCAACCUCUCAGUCCGGCUACUGAUCGUCGCCUUGGUGGGCCGUUACCUCACCAACUAGCUAAUCAGACGCGAGGCCAUCUUCCAGCGAUAAAUCUUUGACGUCGGAGUCAUGCGGCUCCAACGUAUCAUGCGGUAUUAGCAGUCGUUUCCAACUGUUGUCCCCCUCUGGAAGGCAGGUUCCUCACGCGUUACUCACCAGUCCGCCACUAGCAUUCCCUUCCGUUGUCCGAAAACUCCUUCAGGGGUGCUCCGUUCGACUUGCAUGUGUUAAGCACGCCGCCAGCGUUCGUCCUGACGCCAGGACUACAAACUCU
rnacentral:rRNA from 1 species